rnacentral:rRNA from 1 species
CCCUUAGAUGUCCUGGGCUGCACGCGCGCUACACUGAUGUGUCCAGUAAGCACCUAACCUCUUCCGAAAGGAACGGGUAACCUUUGCAAAGCACAUCGUGGUGGGGAUAGAUUAUUGCAAUUAUUAGUCUUGAACGAGGAAUUCCUAGUAAGCACAAGUCAUCAGCUUGUGUUGAUUACGUCCCUGCCCUUUGUACACACCGCCCGUCGCUCCUACCGAUUGAAUGUUCCGGUGAGCUCUUCGGACUGCGCGGUCUGCAGUUUCUGCGUUCCGUGCGGAAAGUUGCGCAAACCUUAACAUUUAGAGGAAGGAGAAGUCGUAACA